rnacentral:rRNA from 1 species
CGAAGCUGCGGCAGCGACACUGUGUGUUGUUGGGUAGGGGAGCGUUCUGUAAGCCUGUGAAGGUGUGUCGUGAGGCAUGCUGGAGGUAUCAGAAGUGCGAAUGCUGACAUAAGUAACGAUAAAGCGGGUGAAAAGCCCGCUCGCCGGAAGACCAAGGGUUCCUGUCCAACGUUAAUCGGGGCAGGGUGAGUCGACCCCUAAGGCGAGGCCGAAAGGCGUAGUCGAUGGGAAACGGGUUAAUAUUCCCGUACUUGGUGUUACUGCGAAGGGGGGACGGAGAAGGCUAUGUUGGCCGGGCGACGGUUGUCCCGGUUUAAGCGUGUAGGUGUGUGUUCCAGGUAAAUCCGGUUCACUUUAACACUGAGGCGUGACGACGAGGCACUACGGUGCUGAAGCAACAAAUGCCCUGCUUCCAGGAAAAGCCUCUAAGCAUCAGGUAACAUCAAAUCGUACCCCAAACCGACACAGGUGGUCAGGUAGAGAAUACCAAGGCGCUUGAGAGAACUCGGGUGAAGGAACUAGGCAAAAUGGUGCCGUAACUUCGGGAGAAGGCACGCUGACACGUAGGUGAAGUGAUUUACUCAUGGAGCUGAAGUCAGUCGAAGAUACCAGCUGGCUGCAACUGUUUAUUAAAAACACAGCACUGUGCAAACACGAAAGUGGACGUAUACGGUGUGACGCCUGCCCGGUGCCGGAAGGUUAAUUGAUGGGGUCAGCGCAAGCGAAGCUCCUGAUCGAAGCCCCGGUAAACGGCGGCCGUAACUAUAACGGUCCUAAGGUAGCGAAAUUCCUUGUCGGGUAAGUUCCGACCUGCACGAAUGGCGUAAUGAUGGCCAGGCUGUCUCCACCCGAGACUCAGUGAAAUUGAACUCGCUGUGAAGAUGCAGUGUACCCGCGGCAAGACGGAAAGACCCCGUGAACCUUUACUAUAGCUUGACACUGAACAUUGAGCCUUGAUGUGUAGGAUAGGUGGGAGGCUUUGAAGUGUGGACGCCAGUCUGCAUGGAGCCGACCUUGAAAUACCACCCUUUAAUGUUUGAUGUUCUAACGUGGACCCGUUACCCGGGUUGCGGACAGUGUCUGGUGGGUAGUUUGACUGGGGCGGUCUCCUCCUAAAGAGUAACGGAGGAGCACGAAGGUUGGCUAAUCCUGGUCGGACAUCAGGAGGUUAGUGCAAUGGCAUAAGCCAGCUUGACUGCGAGCGUGACGGCGCGAGCAGGUGCGAAAGCAGGUCAUAGUGAUCCGGUGGUUCUGAAUGGAAGGGCCAUCGCUCAACGGAUAAAAGGUACUCCGGGGAUAACAGGCUGAUACCGCCCAAGAGUUCAUAUCGACGGCGGUGUUUGGCACCUCGAUGUCGGCUCAUCACAUCCUGGGGCUGAAGUAGGUCCCAAGGGUAUGGCUGUUCGCCAUUUAAAGUGGUACGCGAGCUGGGUUUAGAACGUCGUGAGACAGUUCGGUCCCUAUCUGCCGUGGGCGCUGGAGAACUGAGGGGGGCUGCUCCUAGUACGAGAGGACCGGAGUGGACGCAUCACUGGUGUUCGGGUUGUCAUGCCAAUGGCACUGCCCGGUAGCUAAAUGCGGAAGAGAUAAGUGCUGAAAGCAUCUAAGCACGAAACUUGCCCCGA